ACAUCAUAUGAUGUCAAUUUUAGGGGAUAUAGCUGCUUCUAAAGAUUCAGAUCUGACUUCUUGGUUGAGUUAGAAACAGCCGUGACAUUUCCUGUUUACAUUAGUCUAAGGUCUGAUAAGAUUUCUGGUUAGAGUUGUGUGUGACAACUUGUAAAAUGGCAGAUAUCUAUGCAAAUGGUGAUUUCGUAAGGCUGAAAGAUAACAAACAGCCAACCUCAGUUGACAUGCUUUUACAUUUUACCUGCUUUUCUUUACAAAAUGUUUACUUUUUACAUUUUUAAAGGUCUUCUCUUUAACAUCUCUUAGAUAAAGCAGACCGGUACGCUUAUGGAAACAGUGAUGACCUGGACUGGGAUCCAAAGACAAAAGACAUUGCAGAUGCAUCUGAACACACAUUCUCAUCUAGAAAAGAGAAAGACCCGUCCUGUAAGGCAGUUCUUCUGGCUGUCCUUAGUGUCUCUCUGCUGGUGGCUCUGCUGGCUGUGUGUGUACUGGGAAUUAUCUGUGAGUACACAAUAUCUUAACACUUAGGAUGGUGCACACAUUGUCCAACACACAUACAGGGCACAAUUUGCUGCAUAUUGUGCAGCAGCAUAUGACUCACAUCGUAAGCAUGGCAUAUUUUAUGUAUAAAAGCAUUACACCAGUACACUUUUAUAUGAUAUACUUACUUAAGAUUCCCAACUACUGAGGUCAUCUGAUUUGUUAAAAGAGCAAAACAGAAAUGCUGCAGUGAACAUUGAAAUACAGGAGCAAAAUGCCACAGGUGAGGAGACAUACUGUGUUUUAGUUGUUAAUAAAUGACACUCAGUUUGUAGGUUCA
ensembl:lncRNA